rnacentral:rRNA from 1 species
UAAGCCGUUGAAGGUGGCCUGUGAGGGUUGCUGGAGGUAUCAGAAGUGCGAAUGCUGACAUAAGUAACGAUAAAGCGGGUGAAAAGCCCGCUCGCCGGAAGACCAAGGGUUCCUGUCCAACGUUAAUCGGGGCAGGGUGAGUCGACCCCUAAGGCGAGGCCGAAAGGCGUAGUCGAUGGGAAACGGGUUAAUAUUCCCGUACUUGGUGUUACUGCGAAGGGGGGACGGAGAAGGCUAUGUUGGCCGGGCGACGGUUGUCCCGGUUUAAGCGUGUAGGUGUGUGUUCCAGGUAAAUCCGGUUCACUUUAACACUGAGGCGUGACGACGAGGCACUACGGUGCUGAAGCAACAAAUGCCCUGCUUCCAGGAAAAGCCUCUAAGCCUCAGGUAACAUCAAAUCGUACCCCAAACCGACACAGGUGGUCAGGUAGAGAAUACCAAGGCGCUUGAGAGAACUCGGGUGAAGGAACUAGGCAAAAUGGUGCCGUAACUUCGGGAGAAGGCACGCUGACACGUAGGUGAAGUGGUUUACCCAUGGAGCUGAAGUCAGUCGAAGAUACCAGCUGGCUGCAACUGUUUAUUAAAAACACAGCACUGUGCAAACACGAAAGUGGACGUAUACGGUGUGACGCCUGCCCGGUGCCGGAAGGUUAAUUGAUGGGGUCAGCGCAAGCGAAGCUCCUGAUCGAAGCCCCGGUAAACGGCGGCCGUAACUAUAACGGUCCUAAGGUAGCGAAAUUCCUUGUCGGGUAAGUUCCGACCUGCACGAAUGGCGUAAUGAUGGCCAGGCUGUCUCCACCCGGGACUCAGUGAAAUUGAACUCGCUGUGAAGAUGCAGUGUACCCGCGGCAAGACGGAAAGACCCCGUGAACCUUUACUAUAGCUUGACACUGAACACUGGUCCUUGAUGUGCAGGAUAGGUGGGAGGCUUUGAAGUGUGGACGCCAGUCUGCAUGGAGCCAUCCUUGAAAUACCACCCUUUAAUGGCUGGUGUUCUAACGUGGGCCCCUGACCGGGGUUGCGGACAGUGUCUGGUGGGUAGUUUGACUGGGGCGGUCUCCUCCUAAAGAGUAACGGAGGAGCACGAAGGUUGGCUAAUCCUGGUCGGACAUCAGGAGGUUAGUGCAAUGGCAUAAGCCAGCUUGACUGCGAGCGUGACGGCGCGAGCAGGUGCGAAAGCAGGUCAUAGUGAUCCGGUGGUUCUGAAUGGAAGGGCCAUCGCUCAACGGAUAAAAGGUACUCCGGGGAUAACAGGCUGAUACCGCCCAAGAGUUCAUAUCGACGGCGGUGUUUGGCACCUCGAUGUCGGCUCAUCACAUCCUGGGGCUGAAGUAGGUCCCAAGGGUAUGGCUGUUCGCCAUUUAAAGUGGUACGCGAGCUGGGUUUAGAACGUCGUGAGACAGUUCGGUCCCUAUCUGCCGUGGGCGCUGGAAGAUUGAGGGGGGCUGCUCCUAGUACGAGAGGACCGGAGUGGACGCAUCACUGGUGUUCGGGUUGUCAUGCCAAUGGCACUGCCCGGUAGCUACAUGCGGAAGAGAUAAGUGCUGAAAGCAUCUAAGCACGAAACUUGCCCCGAGAUGAAUCUUCCCUGAGCCUUUAAGGCUCCUGAAGGAACGUUGAAGACGACGACGUUGAUAGGCCGGGUGUGUAAGCGCAGCGAUGCGUUGAGCUAACCGGUACUAAUGAACCGUGAGGCUUAACCUUACAAC